AAUGAACGCUGGCGGCAGGCCUAACACAUGCAAGUCGAACGGAUCCUUCGGGAUUAGUGGCGGACGGGUGAGUAACGCGUGGGAACAUACCCUUUGGUACGGAAUAGCCUCGGGAAACUGGGAGUAAUACCGUAUGUGGUCGAGAGACGAAAGAUUUAUCGCCAAAGGAUUGGCCCGCGUUGGAUUAGGUAGUUGGUGGGGUAAUGGCCUACCAAGCCGACGAUCCAUAGCUGGUUUGAGAGGAUGAUCAGCCACACUGGGACUGAGACACGGCCCAGACUCCUACGGGAGGCAGCAGUGGGGAAUCUUAGACAAUGGGGAAACCCUGAUCUAGCCAUGCCGCGUGAUCGAUGAAGGCCCUAGGGUUGUAAAGAUCUUUCAGGUGGGAAGAUAAUGACUGUACCACCAGAAGAAGCCCCGGCUAACUCCGUGCCAGCAGCCGCCGCUG
rnacentral:rRNA from 1 species